UUUGAGAGAACCGAGCGCAGCAGCAAUGCAAUGGCGUCCGAGUUCCGUUGCGGGCGCAUAGAAAACCCUAAUUUUUCUCAUUUCUCUCUGCGAUUUGAUUCCAGGCCGUUCCAAUGGGUUCUCAGCAAAAUGCUGUUUGAGUUCUCAAUUUCACCCGGCCAAAAUCUGAUCCCUUUUUGGGGGGCAGCCUCAAGGAUUUUACGUGUUUACCCUCAUGUUUAAAUUCAGGGAAACUGCCCUAAAUUUCAUCUAUCACUGUGUUUUUCUUUUUUUCCCAAAACAAUAGAUUCUGGGGUGAAAUGUUCUUUUACUACGUCAAAACAAGUGAUUUUAUCAUGAUUUUUCUUGCUGUGGAAAUUUUUGUGAUGUGAUGUGAUGAUUACUUGUGACAUUUGCCAGUAAUUGUAGUUGCUUGGGCGAAAUUUUAAAGUAAGGUUUCGGGUUACUCA